rnacentral:rRNA from 1 species
CUUUCUUUGCUGGCGACCGGCGCACGGGUGAGUAACACGUAUCCAACCUGCCCUUUACUCGGGGAUAGCCUUUCGAAAGAAAGAUUAAUACCCGAUAGCAUAAUGAUUCCGCAUGGUUUCAUUAUUAAAGGAUUCCGGUAAAGGAUGGGGAUGCGUUCCAUUAGGUUGUUGGUGAGGUAACGGCCCACCAAGCCUUCGAUGGAUAGGGGUUCUGAGAGGAAGGUCCCCCACAUUGGAACUGAGACGCGGUCCAA